CCCAGACUCCUACGGGAGGCAGCAGUGGGGAAUAUUGCACAAUGGGGGGAACCCUGAUGCAGCGACGCCGCGUGGGUGAAGGAGUACUUCGGUACGUAAAGCCCUAUCAGCAGGAAAGAAAAUGACGGUACCUGACUAAGAAGCCCCGGCUAACUACGUGCCAGCAGCCGCGGUAAUACGUAGGGGGCAAGCGUUAUCCGGAUUUACUGGGUGUAAAGGGAGCGUAGACGGCAGUGCAAGUCCGGAGUGAAAGCCCGGGGCUCAACCCUGGGACUGCUCUGGAAACUGUAAAGCUGGAGUGCGGGAGGGGCAGGCGGAAUUCCUGGUGUAGCGGUGAAAUGCGUAGAUAUCAGGAGGAACACCGGCGGCGAAGGCGGUCUGCUGGACCGUAACUGACGUUGAGGCUCGAAAGCGUGGGGAGCAAACAGGAUUAGAUACCCGUGUA
rnacentral:rRNA from 1 species